rnacentral:lncRNA from 1 species
UUUUUUUUUUUUUUUUUUUCAUCUUCUCUUCUAUCUUUUCUUUUGCAUUAUUGAUGGUGAAAAUGAUAAUGAAGUUGAAUUUGAUAGAUAAAGGAGCACACUUCUUUUUCCUUUGCUCUUCUAUCUUUUGUUUUCAUAUUCAUAAUUUUUUCUAUUUUUUUUGGAGUUAAUUUAACAAAUCCAUCAAAUUUAUUUUUUAGUUGGGAAAGUUAAACUCUUCCUUGUUUAAUUUAAGAAAUUAGAUAGAUUUGUUUAUAAUUUAGUUGAUUCUUUAUUUUUUUAUGAAAUACUUUUUCUUUUAUUUGGUGGAUGAAUUAGAAGGUACUAGAUUAGUAAAUCUUCUCCAGAAGAUAUUAUAAAAUUUAGGAUUCUUGAGUUAAUUUUACAUUAUUUUUGCUUAUUUGUUAUUUUUUUUAUUUUUAAAAAUAAAAAUCGAUGAAUUGGGGUUGAACCAGUUGAAUCUUGACCUGAUCACUUUACCGAUUCAAUCACCGGUUCUAGUUUCAAAACAUUGGAGAACAUAGGAAAUUUAAUUAAUGAUGAAAACUUAUAAGUUUAUAGACAAAUUUACUAUUUUACUUUAAAAAAAAAAACUUAUAUCAAACUAGCAUUAGAAAGUUUAUAUGAAUUAAUGAUAAGAUUUUUUUAUUAAUGAUUGAAACUUAGUAUUCUAGUCAGUAAGUGCUCAUAAUAUAUCUGUAUAAUAAAUGAUUGUAUGUAUAAUUUAAAAAUCUUCUAUUUUUUAUACACUUUAAAAAUAUUAUAAAAAUAAUUUUACUUUUCAUAUAACCUUAUAAAAUAUGUAAUAAAACUUUGUCGUAUUAUAAUUUUAGAAUUAUUUUUAAUUUUUAAAAAGUUUGAAUAACAAUAACAACUUCCUAGUUAUAUAUAAAAUAUCAUUUGUCUAUCUAUCAUAAGUUUUAUAAUUUAAUACCUAUGAAUACAAUAAGAUGAUAAAAUUUUAAUAAAUUUAUCAUCUUAUUCUUAAAAGCGUUGGUUAAUCAAAUAGUGAAAUGUUUUUGGUUUGAUUUGAACUUUUCAUAUUCAUCUCAUAACAAGCAUUCAGGAAAAAAAAAAAUUUGGGUCAAAGCUUGCAAUCUUGGAAGCAAUUACAAGUUCCAUUCAUUUGAAAAGGAUUCUGUCAAGUUUUGGAGUAUAAGAAUGUUGUUUUAUGCAUUAGGUGAUGCAUUUUGAAGUGUUGCCUGCAAAUAAGUGGAUAAAAUCUUAAAACGGUGUCGUUAGAAUAAUUUUGAUAAUUAGUUAGUUAUUUUCAUUCUAUUAUGCCUACGUGUACAAAUAGGCUGAUUGUAACAGAAUUGGGAUAUGAGAAUAAACUAUCACAAUUUUCUCUCUCUUCUCCCUUGUCUUAUUCUCUCUUCUUUCUUCUUCUUUUCUUUCUACUUUCUUAUCUGAUUCUUACCUUCUCUUCCUCCUAAUUCUUCUCUAUUGAAUUUCAAUCAGAGGGCUUGACAACUGAUAUCAUGGCAGUCGAUCCUCAGCUGCAAAUUAUACUUGACAUGGCGGAGAAUGCUAGAUACCAUUCCUUAGAAAAUCAGAUCAAGAAGCAACAAAAUCAUCUCCAAGAAGUGGUUGAAUCCAUAGCCACCAUCCAGAAUUCUUGCCAGAAUCAAUUACAGCAGAAGUUUCAUGAAGAAAUGGAGCAGAACAACGCAAGACAGGAGUCUAUGGUAGGAAGUUUAGACUAGAGGUUCAGCAAUAUGGAGCAGAAGUUCAACACAUUAUUGAAGAUGAUGAUGAAGAAGAAAAGCGUUCAUGAAUAGGAAUCUGGAGCAUCCAAACCUCUUCUGCCAACUCUGCCUACGCAUUUGAAGUAGAUGACUUCGAAUGAAGUUUCAGGUGCAUAAUCUGAGUCCAAGAGUAAGAAUUUUGUUCCCACUUUGCCCAAAUUAGAACUGCCCAUGUUCUCUGAUGGUAAUCAUACGGAACGGCUACGCAAAUGUCAAAAUACUUUUUGAAUUAUCAAGUUCCUAAGAAUCAGAGGUAGACAUGAUGGAAAUGUUCUUAGAAGUAAAAGCUGAUAAUUGGUUCCAAAGGGUGAAGUUAGAGAUACCCAAGCUGUCAUGGCUAGAAUUUAGUGAGUUGCUGUGUGAUAGGUUUGUUAGAAAGGGGUCAAGAGAUGUGGUAGAGCAAUUUAACAAACUAUAGCAAAAAGGGACAGUAAAAGAGUAUGAAGAAAGAUUUGAGGAAUUGAAGACACUUAUGCUAAUCAGGAAUCCUAAAUUGGAUGAACUCUACUUUGUUUCAAUCUUCAUCAAUAGUCUAAAGGAAGAAAUCAAGCCAAUGGUGAAAAUGUUUAAACCACAGACCUUGACUAAAGCUUUUUGAGGUUGCUGAGCUGCAAGAGUGCGCUUUAGAAAUUUAAUCUAGACAUUCAAGAAAUAAUGGGAAAACUAUCUUGGAUCCCAAAUUUGGAAUGUACAAGAAUUCUACCAAUGGACAAAAUCAUACUAGCUCUUAUAGUGUACCUACAACAACCCCAAAUACCAAGAGAAAAGAAACAAUAUCCAAGAAGUUUAACAAGAUUUCAGCUGAGGAAAUGCAAUACAAGUGUCAACAAAACCUGUGCUAUCGAUGUGGAGAUAAGUUUAGGGUUGGUCAUCAAUGUAAACUUGGAAAUUUGAAUUGUUUAGAGCUUGAAGAGGAAGAUAAAGUAGAAUUUGAGGAUGCUGUGGGAGAACAAAAUGAACAUGCGGGUAGGAUGGGAGAAUUGGCUGAAGUAUCCCUAAAUGCUUUAUUUGGUGCCUUGAAAAAGAAUUCUAUCUUGCUCCUAUAUAACUUGGGAAGACUACCAAUUAAAAUCCUAGUUGAUAUAGGGAGUUUACAUAGUUUUAUUCAUGUUGAACUUGUCAAAUUCCUACAUCUACCCUAUCAAAAUGUUCACCAUUUUACAGUGACAUUAGCAGAUGCUACGAAUAUCACUGGUGGAGCAAUCUGUCCCAAGGUGUCCUAGAUGAUUCAAGAUUAUCAAUUCCAAUUUGAUUUGAAGGUAAUGGAGCUAGAAGGAUGGGACAUUAUUUUGGGGGUAGAUUGGAUGUGCCGGUUUAGUCCAAUCACAUUUGAUUUCCAUGCACUUAACAUCAUUCUCAGCAACCAAGGUGAUUUAUUACAUCUCCAAGGUUUUAUCAACCAACCAAUGAUCGAAUUAGUGAGAGGAAAAGAUAUCAGGGCCUUCAUACAGGAAAAACAAAGAGCAUGUUCUAUUCUUCAUGCAAAAUUGGUGAACAAGAAGGAGGAAAAUGUACUAGAACAGAACAUGUGCUACAGUAGUUCUCUAAGGUGUUUGAAACCCCCAAGGGACUACCUCCAGAAAGGGAAUUAGAUCAUCAAAUUAACCUCAAACCUGGAGCUGAAUCAUUCAAAUUGAAACCCAGAUACUCUCACUCUCACAAAAUAGAAAUUGAAAAGCAAGUAGCUGAAAUGCUCUCCGAUGGCAUCAUCACAUAUAGUAGUAGUCCUUUUGCUUCCAUUGUUCUGCUAGUCAAGAAGAAAGACAAUUCUUGGAGGUUGUGUAUGGAUUACAAAAAGUUAAAUAAUUUAACUAUUAAGGAUAGAUUUCCUAUUCCAAACAUAGAUGAGCUCUUGAAUGAAUUGCAUGGUACUAUCUAUAUGUCCAAAUUAGAUCUUAGAGUUAGCUAUCACUAACUAAGAGUUAAAGCAGUAGAUGUCCCUAAAACAGCUUUUCAGACACACUAUGGCCACUUUGAAUUUCUAGUAAUGCCAUUUGGUUUGACGAAUGCCCCAUCUAUUUUUCAAGCCCUGAUGAAUAGGAUAUUAAUUUCAAUUAUAUUUGAGAAAAUUUGUAUUGGUUUUCUUCAAUGAUAUCUUGAUUUACAGCCUCUCUUUGGAGUUGCACAUACAGCACCUGAGAAUUAUGCUAAGAGUUUUGAUUGAUAACCAACUCUACUGCAAAAGAUCUAAAUGUUCAUUUGCUUCUGUGGCUGGAGUAAGUAUGGAUGCAUUCAAUGUUGAGUGCAUAUUAUCUUGGCUUACUCCUAGAACAGUUAAGGAACUAAGAGAUUUUUUGGGGUUGAUUAACUACUGUAGAAGAUUUAUCGAGGGAUAUGGAGUAAUAAGUAAGCCAUUAACACAACUAUUAAAGAACGGUGGAUUCACUUGGAACUAGAAUGCUCAGUUGGCUUUUGAAGGUUUAAAGAAAGCUAUAAUAACUGCACCAAUACUCAGCAUGCCAAAUUUUGAAAUUCUCUUUAUUAUUGAAACUGAUGCACGUGGAGUUGGAAUUGGGGCAUUGCGCAUGCAAAAUAGGCAUCCUAUAACCUUUAUUAGCAAGGUUUUAUCAAGUUAGAAUCUGGGGAUAUCUGUAUAUGAAAAGAAGCUAUUUGUUUUGGUAUUACCAGUAACCAAAUGGAAGCACUAUCUAGUUGGCCACUAUUUUGUCAUUAGAAUAGAUCAUCAGGCACUCAAAUAUCUUUUGGAACAGAGGCUUACACACCCAUUGCAGCACAAAUGGCUUACCAAGCUACUAGGAUUGGACAAUGAGAUACAAUAUAAGAAGGGUACUGAAAAUGGUACUAGCAGGGAUCUAGAUGCUGUAGGUAACCAUCUCAGUGCCAUUUCUUCAGUACAAUCAGAUUGGGUACAGAAGUUACUUGAGAGCUAUGAAGGGGAUGCAUUGCUUCAAGAUCUUAUUCCCCAACUUUUAUUAGACCCAAAUUCUCACCCAGAAUACCAAUUGGAGAAUGGUUUAUUGAAAUUCAAAGGGAAACUGUAUGUGGAAACUGCUACAGGCAUUAGAGAUAAACUCAUCAAGACAUUACAUGCCUCUAUUAUUGGGGGGCAUUCAAGUCAGUGAGGAUGCUUAAAAAGGGUGCAAUCACUAUUCUUUUGGCCUGGAAUCAAGAAGGAUGUCCUGCAGUUUGUGAGAUCCUAUGAUAUGUGCCAAAGGAAUAAACAUGAGAAUGUCCUCUACCCAGGGUUACUACAACCCAUUCCAGUUCCUCAGCAAGCAUGGUUCCAUAUACCUACGGAUUUUAUUGAACAACUACUUCUAUUACUUGGUUUUGAUACAGUAUUGGUAGUAGUGGAUCGUUUACGAAAUUUAGUCAUUUCCUAAAGCUCACUCACCCUUACUUUGCUCAACAAGUGGCCCUGAUUUUCCUUGAUAAUGUGUAUAAACUCCAUGCGUUACCUGAAUCUAUAAUCUCAGAUAUAGACAGGGUGCUUUUUAGCAGAUUCUGGCAAGAGUUGUUUGAAUUGAUGGAAACAAACCUCUACUACACUUCUUCUUACCAUCCUCAAUCUGACGGUCAAAGUGAGAUGGUAAAUUAGUGUCUGGAAACCUACCUUAGAUGUAUGUGCAAUGAACACCCAACAUAUUGGAGUGCGUGGUUAUCUACAGCUGAAUUCUGGUACAACACCAACUUCUAUACCAACUUACAACUCUCCCCCAUUGAGGCACUAUAUGGUUACAAGCCAGCUCAUAUUCCCCUAGGCCCUUUCCAUGACAGUGUCAUGCCUGUUGCUGCUGAUAUAGUACAAGCAAGACUUCAAGUCAUGUCCAACAUUAGAGAGCAUUUGGCUAAGGCUCAGAACCGUAUGAAACACUAUGCUGAUAAACACAAGAUGGAAAGACACUUCCAAGUAGGAGAUUAGGUUUUCUUUAAGCUGCAACUAUAUAGGCAGCAAACAGUAGCUAUCAGGAAAAGCCUCAAGUUGUCUGCUAAAUAUUUUGGGUCUUUCCAAAUCAUUGAGAAAUAAGAGCACUAGCCUACAAGUUACUGUUACCACAUGGUGCUAAAUUUCACCUAGUGUUUCAUGUUUCGUUGCCGAAAAAGAAGAUUGGGGGCAAUGGAAAUGUCGAACCAACUUUACUAGAAGUGGAUGCAUCAGACCACUAUCCACUCAAACCUGAGAAGGUUCUUAAGAGAAGAGCUAUCUUACGGAAUUCUCAGCCAAUUAUCCAGUACCUUGUCAAAUGGAAUUGUUUGCUUGAAUCAGAAUCUUUCUGGGAGGACAAAAGCUUUAUUGACAAGCAGUUCCUAAGAUUUCGAGCUUGAGAACAAGCUUGGUUUUAUGGGGAGGAGAAUGUCAAGUUUUGAAGUAUAAGAAAGUCAUUUUAUGCAUUAGGUGAUUCGUUUUGAACUAUUGUUUCCAAAUAAGGGAUAAAAGCUUAAAACGGUGUCGUUAGAAUAAUUCUAAUAGUUAAUUAGCUAUUUUCAUUUUGUUAUGCCUAUGUGUACAAAUAGGCUAAUUAUAACCAAAUUGGGAUAUGAGAAUAAAUUACCACAAUUUUCUCUCUCUUCUCCCUUGUCUUAUUCUUCUUUCUUCCUUCUUGUUUUCUUUCUGCUUUCUCAUUUGAUUCUUACCUUCUUUUCCUCUUAAUUCUUCUCUAUUGAAUUUCAGUCAGAGGGCCUGACAGAUUCCUUAAGAACGGAACUCUAAUAAUGUUGGGACCAUCGAUAUGGCUUCAAACCAAUUAAGAUUCCAAUAAAAAAAAUUUACCAAUAGGGAUGGCAACGGGGGCAGGCGCCCGCGGGGGGUCGUUGGGGCGGGGGGGGGGAAUUUUUUCCCCCCGUUUAGAAACGGGACGAGGGCGGAGGGGAAUUUUUUCCCACCCCUCGCCCCGCCACCCGUUUCAAAAAAUAUAUAUAUGUACAUAAUUAUAUAUAUAAUGAUAUUAUCAAUUAUACUACUAAUUAUACAUGUUUAUUAAUAAAAAUUAUUAAUUAUUUAUAUUAAAUUUAUUAAUACAUUUAUGUUAAAUUCCUCACAACACUUAAUACAAUAACACUUUUUUCUAAAAAAAAAAACACAAAAAUAAUUUAGUGAUUGUAUUUGUAUCAAAAGUGAAAACUUGAUUAUUUUAGUUAUAUUUGUUUUAUCAUAUUAGAUUGUAUUCAAAUAACCUUUGUUUAAUUAUUUUAAUGAGUUUCAAUUAUGAAGUUACAAUGAAUAAUAAUUUGGUAAUGUGUUGAUAUUUUAAUACUUAAUUAUUUGCUCAAAUUUAAUUAUAAUAAAAUUAUAUAAUCAAUUUUUUUUAGCCCCACGGGUGCCCCCGCGGGGGAAGCGAGACGGGGCGGGGGAAGCCGGGGGCGGGGGACGGGACGGGGGCGGGGGGAAUUAAAAUGCAACGGGGCGGGGGUUAGGGGAGGUGUUCCCCGCCCCAUUGCCACCCCUGGUUACCAAUCCCCUCUUUUUCAUUUUAUAAUCGCAGGGUGACCACGAUUCAGGUUUGAAUCGAAGUCAAAUCGAGGGUCCAUUGAAUUGAAACCAGAACCAAAUUUUAGAAACUAAAACUGGAAUCAUAACUGUGACUAAAAGUUCAAGUUCAGAUUCACCAAAAUUUUGAACUGGAACCAGAACCAGCUGUUUAGAAUCUAUUAAAAUUUUGAACUAAAACUAGAACCAACAGUAGAGGAUCCAUUUAAACUGUUUAAAAAAUAUUUGCUAUAUAAACCUAAAUGACUAGUUUAGUGUUCAAUAUCAAUAAUCAGCACUCAAUAGCAGCAACUCCAAUUUUAACCCAACAAUCCAUUGUUCCAUUAUAUUAGUAAAUCUUUACCCCAUAACUAAUGUAAGUUCAAGACCAAUCCAAUGAAAUCAACAAUAAGAUAUUUUUUCAUAAAAUUUUUAUUAUUUUUUUUCCUUACAUAUGAUAAUACAAUAAAGUUAUUAUUGUUAUUAUUAUUUACACUCAUUGUCAUAUUCUCUUAAAAUCAAUUUUAUAAUAAUAAGUGUUUAAACAUAACUAAAAGAACCGAAAUUAUAAUCGGAAUAAAAUCGAAAUCGAAACCGGACUAAAAUCGGAGGUUCAAGAACCCAAAUCUGAACUUUCCUUAUAAGGGUCUGUUCAGUUCAUGAUUUUUUAAAUUGGAACAGUGAUUUUGGGACUGUGACUAUAUCUAUAUAAUGGCAUGCUUUAUACGGAAAUAUGCCGUUUCAAAAUUUCCAUCCUACAAAAAAUCCGAAGCAUAGUCUUCUGCGCAUGCAUAUCCACAACCCAUUAUCAUAGAGCGAGCAAAUAGACAAGGGUAAAGAUGAAGCCACAAACAUGCAAGAAUCAGAGGCUAGUAGAAUCUAAAGAUAUACUUCUUUAGAUUCAUGCCGAUCAGAUACUCUUAGUCCUGAAGUAGUAAUUACUAGGUUACAACUAAGAUGACAUAUGCAGAGAGAGAGAGAGAGAUGGAAAUCAGGUAUGCAAUCAAGAAUCAUCAAAGUCCAGGAAACAUUACACUCGGCAUUGUUGAACUUUGUGAUUUAAGAACGAGUUUGGUAAAUAAGAGAGGCAGCAGAAUAUUGGGAGUAGUACAAGUAGAGGUAAAAUCAUGUAUCUUGGCAGUCAGUCAUUCUCCAGAAGUAUGUUAAGGAAUGUGCAUCAUGCAUGCUGACGGUGCUUGCUCCCGAGUCCAACUUAAGAAGUUGUACAAAGUCGCUGCUGCUCUGCUACCAACAUAUUUAUCCGAGAAGGCAGGCAGGCAAACUCUAUUCGCCUCGCCGUCCAUUGCAAACAGAAUACAAAAAUUAUCAGCCUCGCCCCCUGGAUUCUUUGUUGUUCUUGAACUCAACACAGAGAGAGUGAGAGAAGCCAAAAGAAAAGAGAUACAUGGUUUUGGUCCUUUAAUUUGGAUAGAAUACCUCCACUCCUGGUAGGUAAUACAAUACAACUACAACACUGGGACUUCUGUUUGACCACAAGGGAAGCAAUUGCAUGCAUCCAGACUCUUAUGGAGUAUGGCUCGGCAAGCUCACCAUUAAUGACUUCUUGUUUUAUAUUCCUGUUCUGUCAUCGUAUUUGCUUAAAAUUGUAGUUUAUUCAUAAAUUCGAAACUACUAGCUAGACCCCAAAAUGAUAUGAAAGAUCAAAGCAAUAUUGGUUGUGUGGUUUCAGAUUCUGGUGAUCAGUAAGGAUGAUUAUGAAUGAUAUGAAAAGAUUAUACCAACUGGUUGUGUAAUUAACCCUUUACACGAGCUGAGUCUUUUUCUUUCUUCUUCUUCUUGUACUUGUAUCUAUCUUGAUCGUUUACAAGAAUAACCUUAGGUUUUCUAGUAUCUAACAGAGAAAUUGUUCCGAAAUGAAAAAAAAAAAAAAAAUUUGUUGAAAACCGUGAUAAUAAGGAUUUACGUACGCUGAAUGGUUUUGGAGUAGGAUCGGGACUUGGGAGUGACUGGUUGAGCAAAGUUAAUUCAAAUCUCUGUGGAAUGUCUGAAUACGUCUUUAACUUAUCCACAAGUUCUAAUAAAAUAGCAGCAGCCGAGGAAAACUGAAACAGUCUCUAAGAUAAUUGUUAAAAAGAAGAAGAAGAAGAAGAGGAAGAACGGUACAAAAGGCCUGUGAGCCAAAAUUUCUACUUCGUUUCCCAGGUAUCAUCUCUUCUGGACUGAAAAUCUGAAAUCAGCCUUGGAUACACACAGGCCCUGCUUGCUGCACAGAAAUUUAAUAUUAGUUCAGAACAUUGUACAGUCAAUUUGUUAUUUGUUAUCUGUCAUGUCCAAAAAUUGAUAAAUCAAUACCCUGUUAAGGGCUUCGCCAAGUAAAAACUCAAGUACGUGAAACAUUCUACCUCAACAAUAACCUUCAAAUUCUCGGGGUUCCACAAGUAUGUAAAGUGGCUUUCCGUUUAGCCUGCUUUGUCGUCCCUGCAGUGUAAGCAAGCAAUGAUCAAGAAGUUAAAUGCAAGACAAGACAUGCUGUUGCACCUGCAUAAUUCUGACAGGGUAAAAAGAGGCCAUUCUCAUGCUGAACAGUUGAUGAAGGAUAUAGAGCUGAGCUUACCAGGUGAACAUAAUAAAUUUAUGAAUUAGGAUGUCUAUCAAUAUCUUAGGACAAUAACCUUUCACAUUUGAAGUUAUGAGUAUUAUAAAGACCUUAUAUGUGAUGCAUGUUGAGAAUUCUAAUCAUUGUUAAAGCGCAACUCAACCUGUUAUAUCCCCCUACUCUUGGGAAAGAUGCACCUUACCUCUCAUUGAGGAGCAGAGGGAAGGAGCAUAGGACUUUCAAAUUUGACAUAGAGCAGUAUCAGGCCAGAACAUUUACAGUUUAAACCAAUGAAACAAUUAUAGGACCAUCUUGUUCCUCACGUACCUCUAUCCAAGUGCACCUGUUUCUGUUAUCUGCAUUUACCUCGAAUAACGGAGCUAUGGAGGCAUGCAUGGAUCCAUUUUCAGGGAUCCAAGCGCACCUGUUUCUGUUAAUAUAUGGCUUUAGCAGAUAAUCUUUUUCUUCAUGUAUUUAUCACAGUUCUCAUGUAUCUGUUUUGUGCAUUUGCCUGAAAGUUGUGUAAGCAUGUGCAAAUCCAUCUUCAGAGCCCCAAAUAUCUAUAAUGAAAUUCACAUAAUUACAGCUGUUCUUUUCUAAAGGUAGUUAUCAGAUGCUCUCCUGAUUUUCACUGACACAGGUUUAGCCAACAAACAGGUUGAUGGCUUUAUUCUGAGCAGCAGCCCUAGAGGCGCUUUCAUGAAACAGCUUUUGCUUUUCAAAUCUUGUAAAGAAUUAUCACUUUUCAAGAAAGACUUUGUAAAGAGAUUAGGAAAAGCAAAGCUAAUCCAGAACAAGCCUCAUUUGUGUGCUUGACAUGAUUUACUACAUUAUGCUACUUGCACACAGGUAGUGUCUAGAUUGUAUUAACCUGUUGAUCAAGUACAUGGCAAACUUACAACAGUUAGGAAGCUAAAUUCAUAGGCAUUAUGAUUUUCAGAUUUGCUUUAGUGUUGGACAACAAUUUUAUGUUUUUAUUGACCUGAACAGAAAUGCUUUUCUAUCAGAAAAUAAAUAUUCUGCCCGAUGUGAAUGACAAUUAUGGUGACUCUUUGAGUGCAUUCUUUGAAAUCUCAUGCGACCACAAUUUCAUAUUAAUUAUUUCCAAGUAUGAAAUCAGCAACUGUAGAGAGAUGGAGUAUCAUCCAUAACUCAGAAUAUAAAUCCAUGCCAAGAAAAACUUCAACUAUUACCUUGGCCUCAGGCAAUCCUAUAACACAAGCACAUUCAACAACUUCAGCUUCCAUGGAUUCUAUACCAAAUCAAACAAGAUGCUAUUUGUGAGCUGAGAGACUUGUGAAGGAUCAAGAUAUUAUCAUGAAGCAGAGAAGAGAUGCAGAAAAUGCCUCAAGGUACCUAAAAGUUUUAUUGCUGCAGAGAGUGUUCCACCAGUAGCUACCAAAUCAUCAAUUACCACAGCCCUUUCUCCUCUCUGCACUGCAUCAAUAUGCAUCUCUAGACAGUCUUUUCCAUAUUCCAGCUCAUAAGCUUCUGAUAUGACGUCUCCUGCACAGUGUUUCCAAAAGUUAAGCUGAAAUUUAUUACAUGAAUAGUAAAGAUAAACAAUGAAGGAUAUAUUCAUGGAUUUUUUUUCUUUUUUUGUUUAAAUUAUCAUUUGCACAUGUGUCAAAAUGUGUUGUAAUGAUGGAACCUAGAACAAAAGCUAACAUAACAGACAAAUAAUAUGAAGCAAAUAAAGUUACAUAAAGUGUAAAAGAUCAGUGGCAAGCAUGGCUAUUUUUGCCAGGAGCUUUUUGUUAGACAUGAACUAUGCAUGAUUAGCCAACAGUCAGGCAACUUCUUGAAACCUAGAAGCCUCUGAACACGAUUUCUGUUGUUCUAGGGUGCCUGGUGAGUAGUUAGAAUCAGAAACUGAAAUGAGACUCUCUCUUCGGGUAAUGUUUCACUAAAAUGUGGGAAAAACAUACCUGGCAGUUUUCCUGGUUUACGCAAGGGAACAAACUUGGCACCAAUAGCCAGUGCAAUUGAUGGUCCAAACAUGAAUCCUCUGGCUUCGAUGCCUACGAGUGAUUGGCAUGAUAAAUCUUAGAUAAAACAACAAACCGAUCCAGAAAAGGCUCGCGGAAAGGCUUUUCUUGAGAUUACAAAGAUGAACCAACAAAUACGAAGGAAAAAUUAUGUCUAUGAAUUGGUGGAAAUUAGAACCAUACUCCCACAUCCCACCAGUUACACACUGUUUUUAGUAACAAAUUUGAGAAACUUAAAAGAAAGAAAGAAAGCUGUUUAUUUCCUUUUUUUUUCGUGUCAGUUUGGUCAGCAAGAGAAUUAGAAAAACUUUUCACACUUUCCUACUCGUUUCUGCAUUUUAGUAGUGCUCAAAUAACAGCGAAGGAAAAGUGCAGGAAAAAAAGUCAGUACUCACACAUUUAUGUUUCGGCUUAGGGUAAUUUUCUCACAUUCGGGGCGGGGGAGACAAGUUGCUUAUGUCCUCAGCACCACUCACCAAACUUCAUGCUAAUGGCAGACCUCAACGACGCAAAAGCACACAACGCAUAUUCAAGAAGUUCUUUUCUUUUUUCCUUUUUUCUCGAGAGAAGAAGACACCAAGCACUAUUUUGGCACACCGCGCAUUCUUUUGUCAUAAAAUCACAAGGAUAAAUUAAUGCCAUUAUUGGCAGGAUUCUUCAACAGAUGCCACUAGCCAAAUUGUUCCCAGAAAUCUGGGGAUAGUGUCACCUUAGCCUUAGAGAAGCUGUGCAUGCAAACUAGAUUAAUCACUUUUGUUGGUUAAAGGCUACGGCGCUUUGCCAUUUUAUGCAAUGGCUGAAUUAUAAGCAAAAUUCUCCUUCCCUCCCCCUCGGCUGCCCUCUUCCCCAUCAAGAAGGAAAAAGAUAUUAAAAGCAAAAAUAAAAUAAAAUAAAAGAGGGAGACAAUGCAAAUUGCAAUUGAUUUUUCUCUAGGAGAUUAAUAUUACACACUUAUCAGUGAAACUACUGACUAGCAACAGAAAAUAACAUGCAUGUGUGCGUGUGAGAGAGAGAGAGUAAAAAGAGAGUGGAGAAAAUGUCUGUAGUAGUUACCAGCAACCACAGAGAUGUCCAUGUCCUUGUAUCUAUCCACAAAUAUGUCCACAGUGUCUUUAAAGACCUUAUGAUUCAGUAACAAAGUGGUUAUGUCUUGAAACAUUAUUCCUGCACAAAAGGAAAAAGGAAUUUAACAAACAAACCAACAAACAAAAAAGAGCAAAAGCUCGCAUGCAUUCUACAACAUUGUUAGCUAAAGAAUUAAGGGAAAUGCAGAAGAAGAAAAAGGAGCAAAACCCGGUUUUGGGAAGUGGGGUAUGACUCUGAUGGCAUCAGAAAUGGCCUGAAGCCUCGGGUCACCCUUGAGCCCAUUUUCUGCUGCAAACAUCUUGCUUGCUUGUGCUUUUUUUAGUGUGUGUGCGUGAAUCUUGAGCUUUGAUUUGAGGGUAUGUGCAAGCAAGAAAGAAAGAAAGGAGUAUCCUUUUUUUUUCUCUCUUUUUUUUUUUUUUUUGCUUUUUGCUGCUUCUUCUCUCUCUUUGGAGCUGGUUGAAGAGGUCUGGGGACUCUGGUGUCUUUAUAGCCUCUGCACUGUGUACUUUUGCAGUCUUGAAUGUGCUUUGGAUACGCACUUUGCAAGUUCCAACAGUUAUUUCACCCUUCCAGAGGAGCUAGUAAUAAAGUUGUAAAGAUCAAAUCUCUCUUUUUCUUCCUUCCUUCCUUCCUUCCUUCGUUCAUUCAUGUCCAUGUUUUGUGUGGAUUUUCAGUGACAUUUUUUUCUGUUGGCACCACCACCUACAUGGUGUGAUGGGGAAAUUUCAAGAAAACGGGCCUUCUUCCACGCGCACCCUCAAAUGUGCGUGGCUCAAUAGUGUAACAUAUAUGAUGGAUGUUUUGCUUUCUUUCUUUUCUUCCAGAUUUGAGAGGUGGGGAGGAGAAAAUGAAAGUAUUUUGUGCUCUCACAUCAAAAUCUUUCAUUUUAGAUCCUGAGCCAUUAUAUGACGGACAAUAGCUUCUGUUAAUUGGGUAUAAUCUAAGAAUUAAACAAAAGAGGUGAUAAUUUCCUCACGGUAUGUAUAUUCAUGGUAGUCGUGGACCCUCUUCUUUAUGAUUUUUGCAUUUCGAGUUGCAAAAUUCAAGUUUCGAAAUUCAAAUGUGAAUCCAAUUUAAGUGGCUUGUUUUGGGUAGGUACGCCACCCUAGAUAUGUCUUUUUCUUAUAAUAAUAGAAUUUUUGAGUGUUGCCUCAUAAUAUCACACUACUCUUUCUGUAUCCAGAGUACUGUAUUUUUUUUUACCCUGAUUAUAUCUCUCUUCUUGAAUAUUUGCAGCUCAAAAUUGCAAUUCGAGUUUCACAUUUAUGGCCUAGUUAUAUCACAUUCUUUAUGGCCUAGUUAUAAUAGAAAUUUUGAGUGUUACCUCUUAAUAUCACACUCUUUAUGUAUAUAUCCAGUACUGUAUUUUUUUUACGUUAGUUAUAUCUCUCUUCUUGAAUAUUUGUAGCUCAGAAUUGCAAUUCGAGCUUCACAUUUAUGACCUAUUUGGCAAAUAUUGUGUUUGGAUUGCAUUUUUCAUGGAAAAAUUACUGUAACGAUUUGAUGUAUGUAAGGAAAAAAGGUAAUAGGGAAAUGUGAUCACGGAAAACGACGUAAUUUUCCGACGGAAAACCGCAAUCCAAACAAGGCCCAUCAAGUUUAUUUUCUACAAGUUUUUUAACAACUUUAGUUACAGUAACCUAAAAAAUUUCAAUAUUUGAUAUAAUUAACAUUUACGCUUUAGAAUGGAAUAAAUUUGUGCAAAUUUAUUUGACCUAAUUAUCAUGGUUUACUUUUAAAAACAUUGCAUGAUUUUUCUUUUGUUUUAUUUGUUUCUGCUCUGCUAUUUGCAUAUCUGUACUGAACUUUUAUAUUUUCUGAUUUUAAAAAAAAUGAAGUUUUCAUCAAAAAUAAUUCAGUUGUAAUACUUGAUUAGUCCUGUUACAUUUUUUAUUUUAAAAUUUUAUAUUCAUCAGCAAUAUAAUUGCCAAGGCGAAGUACAAAUUGUAUGAAGUUAGACAUGUUCCUAUUCUCUUUUUAUUCUAUUUUUAAUAUCUAAAUAAUUCUUACACAAUUAUUCAAUUAUAAAAAAAUAAAGAUACUCAUAUUCUAUUGUCACACAAAUUAAGAGACGCAUUAAACAUGGACAUAGUAAUAAAUUGAAUAAAUUAACUACCCUUUUUUUAUUUAAAAAAAAAUUAACACUAGUUGGCUGAGGCGUUGAAGCGAGUGGAGGUUUGGUAACUCUGGUUUGCGUCUGGAAAUCUGCAUGGCGAUUUAUGGGAAUGAGCUUUUUGUGAUGAACGAGGUAAAUGGCUAUGGUAAUUCCCCUAAAUUGGGUCCCCCUCAGAGAAAAAAAAAAAAAAAGGCUGUGCGGAGGAUUUGGGGGGGCCGUAACAAGAAAAGGCAUCGGAUGGUAAAUUUGGGGAAGAAACGAGGUCGAGUGCGGAGUGUGAGGCAGCUUUAGGAGAUUCGACCGUGGUCCCGAGGGUUCUCUUCGCAUUUUUACUCUUUUUAGGCCCCCCCCCCCCUCCUCCCCAGCACUAGUAGAAGACCUACUAGCCUUUGCUGAUAUCUACUUCAUUCUCAACUUGUACGUGUCAAUCACCUGCUCUUAGUCAUGUAAGCUCUUCAUUGGUUCCUUCAACACCAAUUUGCACUUUUUCUUUUUUUUUUUUGACCUUUUGACAAUUUUGAGUCGAGAAUAUAAAAGCGAUCGAGAAUAUUACAAAAAAAUUGAUUAUUCAAAAUUUUUAAAAUCUAUAAUCAGUUAAAAUAAUCCACGAGAACCAGCCAUAAGUUGUGCAUGAUCUUAAAAUAAAAAAGAGUGACAAGAAUUGAGCUAUGAUGAUGCAAAGAUCAUUUAUGUAGGUAUUACAUUUUCCACAUGAUUUACAGUUGUAACCAUAAACUAACAACUUGUUUGGAUUGUAAGCUUUUGGGAAAAUUUUUUCUUAAGAUAUUUUUGUAUAUUUUUUUAAUUACCUUUAUAUAUAUAUGUAUAUAUAUACAUAUGUACGUACGUGUAUAUAUAUAUACACAUACACAUAUAUAGACACACAUUUUUUUAGUUUACCUUUGCAAUACAUACACUAUCACCGUUUGAUCCAUGACACAUAUGCAAAAUUUGAAUUUCAAAUUCAAAUUUUACAUAGUUGUCAUUCAUCCAACGUUAACAAUGUAUACACUGUCAGUGUAGAAAAAAUUAAUCCUUUUAUUUUUCUGCUUUUUCUCGUAAGAAUGUCUGUGGUUACAAUGGUACAUUAGAAGGCCAUGAACUCAUUGUCCAACUUCUAUUCCAUGCAAAGCUUUUCAAUGAGGUUUUGCUGUGAAUCAGUAAAAAAAAAAAAAAAGAGUCUAUGGAAGACAGAGAUUCCAAGAAAAAUGUUUAGAUUUUGAGGUUCAUUUGUAGCUGAGUUUCUAAAUUGCUAUUCUGAUAUUCUAUUUUAACCAUGUUCUUGGAAUUACAAUUCAAUCGUAACGAAGGCUCUGAUAUGAUAACAUUUCCUUAUCGUUUGAUAGUAGCUCUCUCCUUUUUUUUAGAUGUUGUUUAUAGUAUGACUAAUACUACUAAAUUACUUAAUUGAGCAACUCUGUAGCAUUUACAAUUUGAAUAUUAAAUUUACACAGGUUUUGCGACUCAAUUGCCUGUACAACAACCCUUCAAUCAAGUAUAGACAGAAUUAUGUAUACAAAUUGUUGGAAUAUUUUACAAAAUAAUCGAAUUUUCAAUUUAGAGUUAAUUGCAUAAGUUACGAUGAAGGAAAAGUGGUAAUGAUUUUUUGAGUAAUUGGUACUUGAAUAGCUUUAAUAUUUAGUGUAAUUAGAAAUUAAACCUAUUUCAGUUGCCAAAAUUUGUAACCUACACUCCUAAUUUAAUUUGCCAAUAAUUCAUAUCUUAUUACUAGUGUAACUUAUGCUUUUUUUUAGCUUUACAUCACCUACACAAAAUGCAUGGAUCUUGAGAUAGAAAAUGCUGUUGAUACUACACUACUUAUGCUUUGGGAGCUACAAUUCAUAAAAGAAAAAUAAUUUAUUUUCUCUAUUUUUCUAUCUCAGGGUAAAGCAAUAAAAAAUCGAUGUUAAUGGAACUAUACUCUCUUAGUUGUGCUAACUAAUGAGAGUAGGGAUGGCAAUGGGGGCGGGUGCCCGCGGGUGCCCGCCCCGCGGGGGGCUCACGGGGCGGGGGGCGGGGGUAUACUCCCCCGCCCCAUCCCCCGCCCCGCCACCCGCAAAAAAAAAAAUAUAUAUAUAUAUAUAUAUAAAUGACUAUAUAUUAUAUGUAAGUUAAUUAGUUAUAAACUUAUGAUAAUGAUAUUAUUAGUUAAAUGUAUUAUAUAAUGUAUAUUAGUUUAUGUAAUAUAAUUGAUAUUAUCAAUUAUAUGAAUAAUUAUACAUGUCUACUAGUAGAAUUUAUUAAUUAGUUAUACUAAAUUUACUAAUACAUUUAUACUAAAUUUCUAAUUACACUUAAUAGAAUAACACUUUUUUCUCAAAAAAAAGCACAAACACAAUUAUGAAUUAGUGAUUGCAUUUGUACUAAAAGUAAAAAUUUGACUAUUUUAGUUAUAUUUAUUUCAUCAUAUUGGAUUGUAUUCAAAUAACUUCUGUUUGAUUGUUUUUAUGAGUUUCAAUUGUAAAAUUACAAUGAAUAAUAAUUUGGUGAUGUGUUGAUAUUUUAGUACUUGAUUAUUUAUUAAAAUUUAAUUAUAAUAAAAUUAUAUAAUAAAAUUUUAUUAACCCCGCGAGUGCCCCCGCGGGGGAAGCGGGGCAAGGCGGGGCGGGGGGAGCGGGAGGCGGGGGACGGGGCGCCAUCCCUAAAUGAGAGCGAUAAUAAGUAUGGUUAGGAUAUUGAAUCUUAAGGGUGCCAUGUUAAAGAUCCUAUUAUACAGAAUUAGUUUUUUCUGCAAAAACUUGAAUCACUUUAAAAAAAAGACGAGAUUUCAACCUUUUUCGCACUUAUGCAUUAUUAUAUCAUUAUUGUUAUAGUUGACAAAAAGUCAUAUGAUAAUUAAUUUAAAUUUAAAAUUUAAAAUUUAAAAUUUACAUGUAUAUCAUGUGUAGGAUUGCAAAACGAAUCAAACUACUCACAAGUGCUAGUGACCCAACUCGAUCAAAAUUUGACUCGAACUGGAUCAUCAUGGAAUUUGAGCCGACCAAAAGAGUUUGAACUCAAAUUCGAAGUCGAGCACUAAAAAACUAAGUUCAUUAGUUCGCAAGCCGCUUGAUAUAUAUAUAUAUAUUAAUUCUAAAAUUAAAUAUUAAAUAUUUUAUUAUUUAUUAAAAAAAUUAUUUAUCUAAUAUUUAUUUUUUAAAUUUGAGUAGACUCCAACUCGACCUCGAGUUUGAUAAACUUGAGUCGACACUAGACUCGUUUACAGCUUCAGAGUCAUGUAUUGUCGAAAAAUUUUACUCUCAAUGUAGAUACUGCUACUAUAAGAUUUAACUCUUUAAAUUUUACUAAUAACUCUGAGACAGCUCAGGGAUGAAAAAAGGACUACUCCCAUACGAUAGCAUUUUCCCAUUCUUUAUUGUGGGGGACCCCAUUAAUGGAUUUGCAUGACAACAUCACAGUCAAUCGGAGGCACUGCGCUACACCCGACAUCUAGGUUCGUCCUCGACACGCUGCAAAGCUUUCUCGGGCGAUUUGGAGAGUGUCAAAUACGUGCAGGGGUUGGAGUGUAGAAGGGGACAAUAAAAAAGAGUCCCCACGUAGGAUGAAUCCGGCGUACGUGAUUUACUAUUCACGUGCACGCGCGCUAAAAGAGAGCAUGAUAACAUGAUCAUUGAAUACUUGUUGAGAAAUAACCUUUCUUUUUGCCACCACAAGAUUUCACUAUAUCUUCGCUGUCUGUGUUGAUUUGGAUUGUACGGUCUGAUUUGACGGUGAAGAUUAGCCUUUUGUCCGUGGAAGCACGAAAUCACUAUCGUCAAAAUUGGUGUCCUCUGAAGAUCAUUGCAAAGAUAUUCCCCUAUAUUUCACCCAGACAGCAAAGUCAACAGAGCAAGUGGAAUAGAGAAAACUCAAAUUAUCUCCGAGGCAUUCGUCAAUCCAUUCGGAUUCGGAUCGGAUAAUAUGACGUAUGCGAGAUAGAAAGAUAAAUCGUAUUUUUAUCUUCUUCUUCCUGUCAGUUGUUAAUGGGAAAAGGAAGAUGUUAUAUCUUUUUUUGUAGUCUAUUUCUUCAUAUUUGAAGAUAUAGAAAACUGAACAAAACCUUUAAACCAUUCCUUUCGACCUCAUCCAUAACAUAAGACUAGUGUGUGAUUUUAAAUUCGAACCGACAAAUAAAUCGAAUACAUUUUUUUAUUCACAGUUGAAUCGGCUCAAUCAGAGUCCAAGAUUUUAUUUUGCAUUUAUUUGAUAUAAAUAGCUUGGAUAACAUUAUUGAAAUACAAAGAUUUUGAAAAAAAAAUCGGCAAAAAUCAAUUUAAAUGUCCAAUGUUUUAUUUUUUAAAGUCACUGUUAAAUGGUUCACGAGAUGUUUAACCAAAUUUACUAUAGAAUCAGACUAAUAUAAUAUCACAGUCGAUUUGUGAGGUCAAACACGCCAGUCCAACUCGAUUUUCAAACACACAGCCAUAAGCUUUGUAAACAAGUAAUCAAAUCAAUGGAUUCGAAUUUAAUUGAUUAAUCCAUUUUAACAACCAAAAGAAGUUAGACGAGGAAAUGUAAAGCUCAAUUGAAGUCUGCAAAUGCCAAAACAUGCAGGACUUUAACGUGUGUUUGCACACUGCUAGCUAAGACUCGUGGAGAUGUUGGAGUUGAACUACAAAAGAAGUAACAAAAAUUUUACUUGAAAAAAAAGUAGCAAGAAAAAGGAGGAAAAGUAAAGACUAAGCGAUCAUUUUGAGGAUCUCUUACAUAUCUCUGGCUUCUUAACCAUGGGGCAAAAGAGCCGUCUCUUAUUACCAAAGGUACCAUUUGUCUACCAAUCAAUAAACGUCCACCCUAUCUUUUACGGAUUUGGGGCAGGGACGGUCAUCAGUAUGACCGUCCCUGCACGGUUAAGGGCCAAGAUUUGCCCUCAAAAUUUUGUGCGGCUGAGAUUACACCAUGUAACUCGAUUUCCGCGCCAAGUGUGGGGCCCAUCACUAUCUGUUCUGAAAAUACAUCCUGUGAAAAAAAAGUUACACGAUGUACAAAGAAAGUUACGCGCAGUUGAUAAUGACCAAAAUUGCCCGUGCCCCGAGUCCAUCUUUUACCUGCUCUCUUUUUACACGGUGUCCGGAAAGAAGAUUCAUUUUAUCAUAUAUGGUCUCUUUUUUCUCUUCGCGGCAAAGACAUAAUUCCACUAAAUAAAUAUCUCAAUUAUUAACUUUUUAUGCACUGACGGAUAUUAGCAGUCUUGGAUGUACUUCACACGUGCAUGAUUUUAAUUUCAAAUAUGGAUUAACUUUUUAUGCACUGACGGAUACUAGCAGUUUUGGAUGUAUUUCACACGUGCAUGAUUUUAAUUUCAAAUUUGAAUUCAUGUUAUGUAACAUGAUCUAAAUCUGAUUAUGUAAAUAAAAAAAAAUCGUUAUACUGGCAAUGUAUAAAAAAAAGCUAUCAUAAUUACAUUACGUUUCAUAUAAUGCCAAGCAUACGUGGGUGGUCUGAAGAAUCUCAAUGGUGGAAUUAUUUCACUCAAAUAUGAAUGUUUAUCCACUAGAGUCCAGACUAAGGGCACAUGAGCCCUUCUCACUUUCCCUAUGUUUGGAUGGUAAAUUAUUACACUUUAUUUACACACAUUGACUUGCUUGCAUCAUCAACACAUUUUUCAAUUACCUUUUUAUCUCACAUACAUCAUAUCAAAAAGGUGCCAUAGUACUUUUUUCACAAAAUUAUUUCAAAUAAUUUACGAUCCAAACACAACAGUAUUAGAGGUUGCUGCCAGGCAUCUAAUGGACAUUUCUAAUUGAGCUAUGAUCUGAUCUAGCAUGUUUCUUUAGGGUUCCCUUAUUCUUCUUUGCAAUUGAAAGUACUUAGAAUAAUGAAUGAAUAAUUCUACUAGUAAAGCAUAAGCAAAUCCAAAAUGGUCACACCUAAUCUUUAAGAUCUCUUCAUCUCCGCUCUAUGACGAUGACGGGGACGAUCAGCGUCAAAUUACUGUGAGCUGCAAUCAUCAUUCGACUAGUUCGUUGAAAUAUCUAUACUUUAAAGUCGUCCACAAUAAUAGCUAUGUGUGAAGGAAAAUUUUACGGUUGCUUUCCUAUGUGAUUCCCUAAAUUUAUGUCCAAUUACGGAUUUCCAGAUAACUCUCUAUAAAUGGAAGUGACCUGGGGUCUGCAACAUCUUCCUUAGGAGACUUGAGCGGUUGGAGUUGGAGGCCAUUUUGACAAAAUUACUACAAGAUAAAGCCAGUCAAUGGACUGACGGAGACAGGCUUGAGGGUUAAUUGCCAUCUUUCAUAGGUUUGUUUGUUUUGUGGGAAUGGGAGGGAAAGGAAUGGAAAAAGAAAUGAAGGAAUGGAAUUUUUAAAUGUUUGGAAUAGGUUUUGAAGAGAGAAAAGAAAGAAUACGGAGGGAGGGAUGAGAUCUAGUUAUUUUUUGUCAAAUUACUUUUCUUUCAAAAAUGGGCGGCAACAGAAGGGAAGAAAACUAAUCGACCAGUUUACAAAUUAAUUAAGCUUUUAAAUUAAGGAUAAAAACAUAAAUAAAACGUGGGUCGGUUUGGAUUGGCCUUUUUUAAAAAAACUAGUUUUUCAAAUACAAUGUUACAGUAAUACACAAUAAUUCAAAAAAUAUCUCAUUUAUAAAAUAUAUCAAAUAUUUUAAAAAAUUUUUAUAGUAAAAAUUUUUUAUAUGCACUGUUACAGUAAAAUUUUUUAAAAACACCCCCCAAAAACAACUAAUCCAAAGGGAACGUAACACAAUUUUCUUUCUUUUCUUUUUCUUUUUUUAAUCCAAAUAAUAUUUUCAAUGUUUCUUUUUUUUCCGUUUUGUGUUUAAUCUGUUUUUGCUCUACUUUUAUUUAUUUAAAAAAUUUUUUUUUUUUUGGACUGAAGUCCUCUUCUUUCUUUUUCGUCCCGUUCCUUCGAUUCAAUCCAAACGGUGUCCAAGCGUACGAACAGCUGUAUACAGAAUCCUAUAAACCUUCUGGAAGCACAUCGCAAUGGAUAAUGCAUCUCACGUCAUGAAUCAUUGAUCCCGAAUUAAGUCAAAUUAUCUUUUGACAAGUUUGAGGCUCACCGAGUUUUUAGUCUUUUCGACAUCAUAAUUUCAUAUCUGGAUAAGGCAGGCAUCAAGAUUUGGGCAUCCUAAACCUACUGAUUUUGGUCCACGGUGGUAUGCAAAAGUUAAGACAUGGUUUGAAAUUAACAGUAGUGUCUAGUUAAUUGGACCAAUGUCAUCUUCUCGUCUGUGUCGUUUUGGUUCUUUAUCAUGAUUGCUCGAGAUGUCACAAACUAGAUUCAUUCUCGAUCCACAAAACAUACUUGAUCAAGUAACAACAAUAAUGUGUAUUUAAUCUCAUCCACGGCCACCCUAAUUGACGAAUUUGACAUCGUGUCUACCCGACAUGAUACGUCUUAAAAUUCUUUUCUUUUUUUUUUUCAAGGGAGAUUCCGAUUCUUAUAAAGGAAGGGAGAAAAGAUUUUAAGAGUUGUAUCGGAAUUUCAAGAUCACUUGACUGAUAUUUCUACCGGUUGAGUUGAGUUGAGUUGGACUUUGAGUUGACUCAAGAUCACUUUGAGUGGAUUCAAAACAUCAAAUAAAUAACCAACUCCCAUUAGAGGAGUGCUCUAAAUCCAUGCGGGUGAGUGGUGCAUCCGUCUGGUCUGAUGGUGGUUUAGUCCCCGUCAAGUUCCCCCGACUCUAUAGGCCCACUCCCUAGAGUUGCUUCCCUUAGAAAGUAAGUCCCUCCCCCCUCUCUUAGGAGUAGGAGUAGGUUAGACUAGACUAGAUGUGUCGCUACGAAAAAAAAAGAAAAAAAAAAAAGAUGGUGGCUCAAAUUAGAUAUUUACGUUUAGUAUUUAAACCAUCAAAAGAAAACUCAAAUAUGUUCAUGGUGCCAAAUCUAAAUAAAAGAGAAGAGAGGAUAAAAUAAAAGCUGGAAUGAUAUUAUAAUGCUUUUCGUAAUAUGUUAUAUAUGAGAUAAAAAAUUGAUUGUAAAGAUUAUAAAAAAAAAGAAGAAGAAGAAAGGUCAGUUAUGAUUAAGAAUGAACGACGCAAUACUCCAACAGAUUGGAUCAACUUGGGUUCAACGUCCUGAACCUAAUGGAUUUUCAUUGAGUACGAAAUCAUGCAGAGCCGAAGAAACUGGACUAACAUGGGUCCAUUAACCAGUCCAGAAUCAAUCCAAGAGAUUGGGCCCUACAAAAUUUUGUAACUCAACUGGUGUCCACUGGAAAUAGAUUUUGGGAGCAGUAUAAAUUAUCCCUUGCAUUACUGGCUGUGAGAAAAUGGCCAUCCCAGCCACAGCAUUUUCAAAUUUCAACAUAUCUUUUUUUUUUUGUGAAUUGUAGUUGAAAUUAUGUGUACUAAUGCUUUUGGCACACUCUACGUGUGUGCUUAUUGCAAAAUAUAUGAUUAUGUAUUUUUAUAAUCAAUUAUUAUAUGCAGUAUUAUAUUAGAGCAUUAUGUGCUUUUCUCAAAACUCUAUAAAUAUUAUUUUUUUAUUUUUUAGGAAGUUAUUGUAUUUAAAAUGAUGGUAGAGAAAAAGAGAAAAUGUGAGUAGAUGUACCUAAAAUCAUGAUAGAGAAAAAGAGUACCUUGAAAACUAAUUUUAGAGGGUAUUUUUGGUAUAACAUUAAGUGAUAUGAAUUGUUUAUACUAAAGGGAGGCUCUCCCACUAUGUAUGGUAUAAAGUCUUGGAGUUAUUUUUGAAAUUGUUUUUGGAGUUUGUUACUGUAGACAGCACAAAUAAAAACUACAAAUUCAAGUAGAGCCAGAGAUUUUCUAAUGACUUCCAAUUUUGCUAAGGUAUUAACUAGGUUUGACAUAAUUCUUUGUUGAAUAAUUAUCUUCAAUUUCGUUGGUGUCAAGCCUAUUUCAUUGUCAAGUGUUCAGAAGAGACUAAACCAUCUUUGGACCAGUUGAGUGGGUUAGUGUACCGCAAGAUUUAAGAAGCUAAUAAUUCCUGGAAUUCUGACAAGAGAAUUUGAUAUCCCAACCAGCAACCCAAUCUGGACUUAAAAGCCCUCUGGAUGGCCAUUGGACCAAUUGUUCGAUGGUUGGCCAAGUGCUCAAAUUGAACAUAACUCUAAUGGAACUCUUGCUAUUCGAACCUUUUCUUGAGUCAAAUUCAAAUAUACAAGUAUUGAGGUCGAAUGUUCAUCGAGCUUUGCAUAUAUCUAUCUGAAUAGAAACUCAAGGCCGUCUUGAACUCACUUUGCUUUCUUAUACACAAGAGCGAGCCUUUUUCAAUUUAUUCGAGUGAAUUUCAAAUGCACGAAUAUGGUGUUUGCCAAACUUGAAUAUUUAUACUAUACUAGGGGAUGAAAGCUUGCGUAAUGCGCGGGCGUCGGGUAUACUAUACUAGUAGAUGCAAUCUGCAUAUGAGAAAAUUUAUAAUGAUAAACUUACUUUAAACCACAAAUAAUAAUUAACAAAUGUGAUCUCCUUCCUAUCAUGCCUAUCUAAUAUGGACAAUUGAAUUAAAAUACUAAAAAAUUAUCACACAUACAACCUUCAAGAUUACAGAUUUCUUACAACCAAAAAGUAGAUUGGUUAAAGAAAACAUACCUAUUGAGAUUUCUUACAACCAAAAAGUAGAUUGGCUAAAGAAAAUAUACUUAUUAAGAAAGGUGUUGCAAAAUGGGGAAGAGGAGUAGCUAAUAUAGCAACAUCCAAAUUUAAUAGGCUACAUGAUUAUGGUGGAAGAAAGUUGUAAGUAAAUGAAAAAAAUAUGAACAGAUGGGGGUAACGGCCAAGAAAACAAACUUCUCUACUAAUUGGCAUUAAUUGUGUCUUAAUAUCUAUAUAUCAUAAGUUUGCAGAUAACUAAUGAGAAAUGCUUUAGGAAAUUAAGAGACUUGGAUGUUAAUACAAUUAAAUGAUUAGAAGGGCUUUUAUGUUAUUUCACUAAAACACAAGCUGAAUUUAGUUAUACCCAAUGUUCAAUCGGAUAUCUGUCACCCCUAGCUUUAAAUGUCUAAAAGGACAUCUAAGUAAAUACAACAAAACUAAAUUAGCUAUAAUGACUUGUAUUCAAUACUCCAAUUGCACUUCAAAUUCUUACAUUCCCAAAAUAACCCUACCCUUACGGUUGAAAUCCAAAGAAUAUCUUUACCCUAAACUCAUUCUUAUAUAGUAUAAGGAUAUAUAUAUAUAUAUAUAAGGAUAUAAGGAUAUAAAGGGAGAAAUAGGAGUUUGGGAUAAAUAUUUUUCUAUCACUUUAUAUACUUUCAACUUUAUCCUUACAAGAAAAUCAGUUAUUACUUUACAACUUAAACACAAAUUGCUAAAAUAACUAUCUAUAUAACUAUUUCUAAUCAUAACUAGUUUAAAUGCAUAUUGAUAAAAUGACUGUCUCUAAAUAUUGUAACUACCAGAGUAACCAUCACAUGAUGGACAAAAAAAAAAAAAGGUUAAAAUACCCCAUUUUACUUCAGUAAUGAAAAUUUUAUGUAAAAUUAAUUUGCAAAAGGGCAAAAAAAAAGAAGUUUGUCUGAAAUGCACCGUUAGCACUAGCACUAGUAGUUGAGCGCCACUUGGUUGGUUGCCAUCCCAUUGCAAACUGGAAAAUGAUCUCAUCUUAUUGGUAGUCAUUUGUGACUUUCCACCAAAGCGCAAAAUAGUACUCACCGAGUGUGGGACGAGGGAGGAGAGGAGAGGAGAGGGAGAUGCUUCUGGACAACGAAAAGUGGUAGUGAUGAUACGGUUAAAUGAAUCCCGUGCAAAAGCGGUUAGUGUGAAUUUGGUUCUCCAUCCCUUUCCGCAACUUCAAGUUACACUCCUCCCUCAAGCCCCACAAUAUAUGCUUCCUUAUCUUGAGAGGUUUGAUAUUCUUUCGGGGAAAAUCCUGGUCCAGACUCCAAGUUAAAAAUGCAAAGCAGCAGUAGUAGUAGAAGUUUGGACUUUGGAGAGAAAGAGAUCCUGAACAUCAUCGGAUGUUGAGGCCAGGUACCAGAAACCAUGGCCACCUUUUCACCCAAUUUAACUGCUUCUUUCCCUCGCCAUUUCGCCGACAACAAGGUACCCCCCCUUCAUUUGUUUUUCCGGGUUUUUUCCCCACCCCCCCAUUUUUGUCAUUUCCCCCAUGUGUUUAUCGUUCAUACAUAUUUGUUUCUGAAAGGCGGAAAUGAAAAAUAUUCAACUUUUCCUCAUUAUUAGGAUAUUUAUAUUGUCAGGAUGAUGGUAUUUGUAAUUACUGUUUGGUUUUACGAGAGUUUAUUGGCAUAAGAUUGUCCUUGGUCAGGGUUCCACUUAAAGAAUCAUAAUCUGAAAUUGGCUCCUCAAGUUUAAUAUUUUUUCCCCGUCUUUUGAUAGCGAAGGCGAGGGCUCUAUUUUGACGUCAAGAACUUGUAUAUUUGAGGUCGGAUGGAAACUUGAUGGAUUAAGGGAUUGGGGGAGUGUUAUUAUACUCGGGGUUUUCAGUGGAUGCUUGAAAGUUGGAAGCUUUCUUUUUUACUGAAUAUUUGGAGUUCUAAAGCUGGUUUGCGACUUCUUUCUUGAGUUGAACUUGUUUAGUUUAGUAGGAUGUAUUUACACUCUCAGCUGAAGGAACGCCUAAGUAGCCAAGGAAAUUAGUUUGCGGAUCAGCUUAUGCUUCGCAUUGGUCAAAUUUUUUUAGAGAGCAUUAAGGAUAGGAGUGUCUUCAGUAACCUGUAAUAGAAUCCGGGGAUAAGCCUUGGAUUGAGAGAGUCACCAGCAGAGGUCAACACUGGACAUUUUAGAGGGAUUGAUGGGACAAGCCUUCAGAGUUUCCUAGAGAAACUGUUGGUGAUGUGUUUUUAACGCUGGCAUAUCAGCAUCAGUUAUAACUAAUGGUUGAAAAAGUUGGAGAGGAUUCCUGCUACUCCUUGUUGACAAAGAAAAGGACAAUAGAUUUGAGCCACUUUUUUAGUAUGUGGUCAUAGAUGGAAUGAUUCUUGCUGCUCGUUGACUGAUGGAGUAGAAAUAGCUGGCAUUGUUUCAAAAUGUCUUCUUGUUUCUUCCAUUCUGAAAUCGGACCAUCAGUUUCUUUCCUUUUAUCGAUAGCUAAACAUAGGUGCCUUCUAUCUUUUGAUUGCCUGUUGGAUAUUGAUUUUUUCAUACUUAUUUUCUUCACAGAGAUUGUCAAAUUAGUCUUGAUUUAUGCUCUUUAAUCUGUUUUGUGUUUACUUUCUUGUCUAACACUAUGAUCAGUUCUGUUCUAAGAGUUUGCUUUGAAGGCAAUUUACCAUUUUAUGAUGUCACAUCCAGCAAUUGGGAGACAUAAUGAUUAAGCUCUUUUUCUUUAUUGUCUUUGAAUUGUGCUUUAUCUUAUUUUUGAUGUGUUUGGAUGUUCUAUGCAGAUAUGCUGUCUUAGGCCAGAAGGGAAACAGACGAGAAUGAGUUUUCUGGAGGCAAGCAACAGAAAAGGCCAAGUUUUAUGGGUUGUCAGGUCAGUCUUGGAUAACCAGAAGCCAAGCAUCCAUGGAAAUGGAGCAACUGAGUCCACAAGGAUUCUUUUGGAAAGACUGUUUGCGCAGACCCAGAAACUGGAAGAACAAAUUGGUAGAGAUCCUCAUCUUCCUGAGAUUGCUGAACUGGGCUUAAGCCUUGGAAAGCUGGAGUCUGAUAUGCAAGCUGCCCUUGCAGCGUUACAGAAGAAGGAAGAAGAUCUACGGGAUGCAGAGAAGAAUGUUUUCUUGGAGUUAAAUGAAGUAAACCGUGCAAAGGAGGAGUUGGAGCGGCGAGAGGAAGAAAUAGCAGCUGCUAGUUCUAGGAAGGAAAGACUAGAAGAGGAGCUGAGGCAGGCUAAUCUUGUCUUAGCUUCCCAAGCAAUGGUCAUUGAGGAUCUUAAGCUUUGUCUUAGGGAGAGGGAUCGGCAAAUUUUCUCUGCUCAGUCUGCUCUCUCUUUGAAAGAAGAUGAAAUAAGUAAAAUGAGCAAUGAUUUGAUCAGAAAGAGUGAGGAAGUUGCCGAUGCUGAAUCAGAAUUUAGAUCAAAGGCGCAGCUUCUGAAUGAAGCAAAUGAAGUUGUGAGAAGACAAGAGGUUGAACUUCUAGAGCUCCGAAGAUCAAUUCAAGCGAAAGAAGAGGAACUAGAGUUCAUAAUGACUUUGCAGCAAACUGAACAGGAAAAACUAAGAGUCAUGGGGGACAGUCUAAAUAAACAGACUACAGAUUGGCUUGUCGCACAGGAAGAAUUGAAGAAGCUAGAGAAGGAGCUUUCUAAGCAUAGUGGGGAAGCAAAUGAAACUCUGGAGGACUUUAGGAGAGUUAGGAAGCUACUUACUGAUGUGAGGUCUGAAUUAGUUAUGUCUCAGGAAGCUUUUGCUUUGUCUAGACAAAGAAUAGAAGAACAGGAACAGCUUUUACAAGAGAAGCUUGUCGAAGUUGAUGCACAAAGGAAAAGUGUGUUAUCUUACAUGACGCGUUUGAAGGAUGCCACAGUAGAAGUGGAAAGUGAGAGAGUAAAACUGAGAGUUACUGAGGCUCGAAACAAGGAGCUUGAAAGAGAAUUAGCCAUGGAGAAAGAGCUCGUCACAGAGUUACAGAAGGAACUAAAUAAGGAGAGAUCUUCUCUAGAACAGGCGCUUAUGGACAUGGCAUCUCUUAAAGAGGAACUAGACUGUAGAAACAUUGAAUUCGUAGAAACAGAGAAUCUUCUUCGUAUCAAGGAGUCAGAAUUAGUCAAUGCUAGAUUAGAGAUCCAACAUUUAGAAUCGGAGCUGACUUCUCUCCAGACCUUGCUGGAAGGAAAAGAUUCAGAGCUCGUAAGUGCACAGAAGAUGUUUGCAGUAGUAAAUCAAGAGAUAGCUGAGCUGAAAAUGCUGAUGAAAAAUAGAGAUGACCAACUUAUGGAGGCUACAAGUGCGCUGAAGGAGAAAGAGGAUAAUGUUCAGACAAUACAACAUGAAUUAGAUAGUACCAAGCAGAAAUUUUCUGAAGCUGAAUCAGUUUUGGCAAAGAUUGUUCAGCUCACUAAUGACCUUGGAGAUGAACAGUGUGGCAGAUUGCUUAAGGAGACUGAUCGCAAGCUAUCAUCUCAUCUGUUUGAUCAAUCGGGUGCUAACUUUGACUGGAAAAAAAAGCAGCUUGAAACUGAACUGAAACUGACCAGAGAAAGCCUGAAAGCGAAAGAAAUGGAAGUUCUUGCUGCACAGAGGGUUCUAGCAAUUAAAGACGAAGAGCUCAAACUGGUUUUGAGUAAAUUGGACAACAAAAACAUGGAACUAAUGCAAAUGAAGGAAGAGAUGAAUCGAGAUGGUGCUGAACUGAGGCAACUGUAUGCUUUGGCACAAGAAAGAAUUGGUGAAAAGAGUAUUGGAGACCUGGCAAUUGAGAAACUCCAACUGGAGGCAGCUCAGCUGGAAGUUGAAGCUGCAACUAGUGCGCUCCAGAAACUCAGUGAGAUGAGCAGAGAACUUCUGAAUAAGGCUAGUCUGAGCAUUGAUGCUGAUUUUGAUAUCAGUAUCAUGCCUCAUAGUAGCUCCUCUGACAACAGGGAUAACAUUGAUGAAAGUGGGUGUCUUGCUAAAGUUAAAACUGAAGUUGCAAACCUUUCAGCUUUGACUGAGCAGCUUCUUAAAGAGGCUGGUGUUAAAUAAGGCUAGUCUGAGCACUGUUACUGAUUUUGAUAUCAGUAUCGUGCCUCAUAGUAGCUCUUCUGACAACAGGAUAACAUUGACAAAAGUGGUUGUCUUGGUAAAGUUAAAACUGAGGUGGGAAACCUUUCAACCUUGACUGAGCGGCUUCUUAAAGAGGCUGGUGUAGUAGGUGAGUAAAAUAGCAAAGGUAGCUUGUGCGUUUGGUGACCAACAUCUAUGUAGAUAUCUAACAAUUGCUUGGUAUACUUUCUUAUAGGUUGAGAGUAUACUUUCCUAGAUUUUUGACAGGGAAAUUCAUAUUUGGCUUGUAUGGUGUGAUGAUGGCAUUCAAUUUUCUCCUGUUAUUUAUGGCUAAGGAUUCUGUAACAGUCAUUGAUGUCUUAAUUGUUCUUAUUUAUCUGAUGAAGUAUGAUAUCUUCUCAGUUAUAAACUUGGUGAUAGCAAAGGAUUUUGUAGAGUGAAUGCAGUCCUUUUGUGGGUCUUGAGUUGUACAUUAUGCCCAUGAACACAACUUGUGUUGCAAUACGUUAUCCUAUCAGCUUGAUGGAUUUCCUGGAGAAACAAUCCAUAAAUUGUACAAUAAAACACCCCAGCUAAGCUGGCCAUUAAUGAUCUCUGUUGCUUUACAUUAAAUCCAAAAUGCUUAUCACGACUAGUGCAGAUCCAGUUAUCAGUUUCUAAACUUUGCAAUUGACAGGUUACAGAUAAGCACUCUUGAAAUUGAUAUUACCCUUGCGCAUUUGAGAAUAAAAAUUUCUUUGGUUCUGGCGUUACUGGGCAGAUUAAAUCUGCAGCAAUCCGAGAAAGAUAACACCAGAAACAAUCGGUGUUCCAGGCUGACGAUCAGUGUUUAAACUGUCUUGCUAUUGACACUGAUAAGCAGACACUUGCUUAACUCGUCUGAGCAUCAAGCAACCAUACUAGCAGUCAGAUGCUAUGGUAUUGAGUUCACAACACAGAAAGGCAAGGAUCAUACCAUACAAUACCGCAGCAAGUAUCAAUCAGUUUUAUAUGUAGAUCACAACAUGCAGACCUAUAAGAAGGAUAUAGAAUGGGUAGAAAAGCUCUGUUCUGUUCACUAUGUUACGAGGUAGCAAAAUUAACCGGGAUUUCACAAGGAAAAGAGACUUGGGACGCUAUAAAAGGAAUAAAGGACCAAAAGCUGUGUAUUACAAAGGAACCUCGGUGAAUUUCUGCAGUUUCAAGCACAAUGAAAUACCAUAAACAACCAGAAGGCGUUAGCUAAUAUGGACAAGAACUAACAAGAAAAAAAGGCAGCAAUAGUUCCAACCACCAAACAUAUAUUUACAACAAUCAUGUAUACAGGAUUUGUUUUUGCAAAUAUAAGCAAGGUUGUGCUUUGAAUUCCCUAAGCAAAGGUUACAAAUCUGUGGAGCCUUUUCUGGAAAGGGCAAGACUUGCUUGGGCAAGCUGACUAAAGCAUGAGAACUACCAAGAUGUAGGUGCACUGACACCUUCUCUGAAGAUGAUGUUUGCCACUUGGGGUGGAAGCCAGCCCGUGUUGCCAGCAGUGUGGCCUUCCAAAGAUUGAGCUUCACCUGGUAUGACAUUAGUCCGUCCCUUCCUUAUCUUUGACCUGCUAAUCUUUUUGCCAACAAAAAGGCCCAGCUUCAUAGCAGUAAAUAGACCCAAAGCAAUCAGAAGUGGCCGGACUGCCCAGUGAAAAUCCUCAACGUGCUGAUACUUUUUCACCACUCCAGGAGAAGUGCUAAAAGAAACACUUUGAACUUCAGCUGGAUCAGCUAAAAAGCUGCUAUUUUCUUCACCAAAUGUCAACCUACCAGGAAACCUAACAACAAGGCACCCAUUUGGUAAGACUUGACAAAUUCUCCCAGUUGCCCACUCACCACCUCUUUUUCGGGGCCAUUCAAAUCGAGGAUUAAAUGUAUCAGACUUCAGCCUAACAAAUUGCCCAACACAGUAAGCUUCUGCCAUCUGGAGCUCUGAAUAUCUUCCCUUCCAAAGUGUCUCCAUUCCUAUAAAUCCAGCAGCUACACUCCCAUCACGGUUGAUUAGAUGAAGGAUACCUACUGGCGAAUGUUUCUUUCCUUCAGCCUUCAAUCGCACCCAAUCUCCAGCAGCAAAUCCAUAACUUACACGUUCCAGUGUAGAUCCAUUAACCCUUAAGGGGUCAUGAAUGCCAUGUACCCUAACUAAAACAUAUCCAUUUUGGUCACUGUUGAGGUCCAAACCUACUACAGUACCCUCGGGCACCUCCAUAUUUUCAGGUUUGCAUGAGUCUGGUGGUUUUCUUGAUCGAACCAUGUCACCCACUUGCAGGCAAUCCUUCGAGAGAAACCACUCGCUGUAGCCAGUAGAACUUGAUUUCUCUGUAAUCUUUCUACCCCCAGGAUCAAUCCAAUUUCCAUCUUGGAAAACUGCAUUCUGUGAGCUGUAAAUGGGGAAGCAAAAUUGAACAAGCAAAUAUAAGGACCAUUUUCUUCUGAAGUACACCCAGAGGAUAUUUGUGGGAAACAGUCAUAAGCACAUAAUCAACACAAGAAGUCAUACUAUUAAACAGUUAUGAUCUCCUAUAACAAAGAGAAAUUUUAAUUAGCAAAAGGAUGCAUUUUUUAAGGCAAGUAAUCAGCAGUCUAAUACUUGAUAUUCAACCAGAAUUAAAAGUGACGCUCACAGCAAUAACAUGCAUGGCAAAUAAUAGUCUGAGAGCAAUGUCAAUCUGCCACAAAGUCCAGGAAAAGCAUCUGAUCUAGUCAAUACAGACCUACUGAUAGGAAAUACUAAGACCUGAAAAGUUGUCCUGAAGACAAUCGCACCUGCAUUCAGAAUGUCUCACUUUCAAGUCCAGAAUGACUUCCAAUACAUCAAUGAAAAGUUUACUCAAGUCCUCCAUUGCCAGGAAAACUGAUGACCAAUAUUAGGAAUUUUAAUAAUUCUUUAAUUCUCUGUAUUCGGCUUCCAAAACUAGAUUAAUUUAUACUAUGGAUCAUAUGCAUGCCUUAUAAAACAUGAACCUCCAGGAUUAAGCAUUCAUUUUGGUAGUUAAAUCCCUUAGUUUAAGCAUUUAUUCCAAAGCCCAGGAGGUGAAUGCUUGAGUUGUUUUUUUUUCCUGAAGUUCAGAAAGCAUAUUAUGAGAAAAAGAUUAGAUGCACUUUUAUUCACUGAACCUUGUAUUCCUCUGUUUUAAGAAGAAGUUGAACACGACAAGACAAAAGUGGACCUAAAUCAUAAUACAAUUGAAAAAGUAUAAUAUCCUCAUAGACAGAGCCAUUUGAGGGGUAUUAGUACGUAAUAUAAUAUAUUUUUAAGAUUCUUGAAGGUACAAAAGUUUUAAUUAUAAAGAUAAUUUUGGGAAAACUAGGAGAAAACCUAAUUUUCUAAAACUUGGGGUGGCAGUGGCCAGGUUUAGUCUAUGGAUAUCGUAAACUCACAUUCAUUUAUGAUGCGUGAAUCAGACUGGCAAUUACUAUAGAAUUCUACUUUCUUCAAUUAAAUUUAGACAUAUGAACAAAAAUGUAAAGAUACAACAGAAUAAGAAGAGACAAUAUACAAAGUCUGAAAUCCAAGGCCUGCAAUACGACAAAAGCCCUGAACUUUUCAAUUUUCAUAUGACUCUUAACUGCAUAUAAGUACUUAGAGAAUCUCCCGUCAAAGGGCAUUUAAAGGAAAAAAAGGAAGAGAAAAAAAGUAUCAUUUUCAAAUUAAUGUAUAAACUAAACCAGCUGUCCAGCCACAGAAGCCCUGCAAAAAGACAUCCUUUGAUCGACAAAUCCAUGUCAUCCAUGAAAUUGCUCUUUUGCCCCAAAUGCUUGUAGGGCUAAUAUAGUUCAGGGGAUUAAGCAAGACUGGUUUAGAAAUUGCUUCUUAUCCUGUGUUUGGUGAUAACCCUAGUAUCUCAAUUAAAGCUUCUAUGCCACAUAUGUAGGAUAAAACAAUCCCCCAGGAAAUAAUUUUCACGGGAACAUAUGGAAUCCAGUUUUUUGUUUCUAAUUUUUCAAUGAGACGAGACUGUAGGAGUGGCUUUAUGUACCUUGUACCAUUAUGCUAAAAUUUACUCAGAAAAUGUUGCAUCAGAAGAAGUUUGUUUGAGGUAAAACAUUUGGUCAGAUCCAUCCGAAAGUUGGUUUGCAAGGACCAAUAUCUUUUGGUAUUAUCCUUUUUUUGUCUGAGAUAGAACAUAAGCAAGCCUUACCACCAUGUAUAAAAGUACAGAUCAGGCCACCUAAGUUUCACACUUUCUCUGAUAAUAUUACAGCUUUCAGAUGAUGUCUGCUCCUCAUUUACAUAGUUAAUCAAUUAAACAUCACUCCCAAUCUGCCUAUAUGUAGCCCAUGCAAUUUCUGCUGAUCACUUGGUUUUGGCAGUCUUCAAAUGCAUUACAAUUAAACAUGCCUCGAGAAACAGAUUCUUGUGCUACAUUUUGAACACAUGAGAGAUUGCUUCCCAUAAAAAUAAAUAGGAGAAAUACCUUUUCAAUGCAUUCAGUAUGUCUUCCAUUAGAGGACGACUCCUCAAAUCAUACUCAAAACAACCACUAAUGAUAUUCUGAACAGCAGGAGGAAGACCAGCAGGAAUAUGUGGUUUUUCUUGCCUUCUCACAACAGACCUGUAAAUUUCAUCAACUGAUUUACCACUCCAAGGUUGCACACCAGUCAACAUCUCCACGAUGCUGCAUGCAAAUCCCCAUGAGUCAGUCUCAAAUGAUAUUGGACCUCUAACUUCUGGCUGCCACUGCUCAGGUGCCAUGUAGUUUGGAGUACCAAGUCUUCGAGUCAUCUCCAAACUCAGCAAUGGAAUUCCAAGCAGUACAUAAGGAAUUCCAACAUCGCCUAGUAUAGCAUGGUUAUUUUCGUUCAGUAGAAAAUUGAAAGGUUUAAGGUUGAGAAUUAGGAUCUCUUUUGAAUGCAGCUCCAUUAAUCCAUGUGCCAGAUCAGUUCCAUACCUGUGCAAUAACAACAAAAACACAUGACAAUUUCUAUUUGACAGGUUAUCAGUUAUCAAAGGGAAAGAAGCCCAUAACAGCUGACUUUUGCACAUAAUACCAAGUAUAUGUCACCUUAAAACAUCAUGCAGUGAGAGCUUUCCACCCUUACGGCGGGACAUCUUAUCACCAAUCGAGCCUUCAUAGAACUUCAUAACAAUGCAUAACUGGAAGAACACGUGUAGAUUAUCAGUAAAUUCAGAAAAACUUCUGGCCACUAACUCUAAACUGGAACAUCAAUAUUACCUUUCCACUUAUCAUGGAGAGACCUUGCAUCCUACAAACAGAUUCUAAUUCUUGACACUUGGAGAACAAAUCAUCCAACCUACGCAAUACAACAUUAAUGGCAUCUUCUUUUAUAGGAUGCAGCAUCUUAACAGCAACCUCAUGAUACUCUUCAUAUUCUUCAGUUGCUUGAUGUCGAGUUGCUAACCAAACGUCACCAAAGGGACCCCUUCCAAUUCUAUGUCGAAGCUUAAUCUUUGAAGGAUCAAUCCAUGGGCUAAUCUGAUUGGAUGAUGCAACGACAGUUGUGAGUUGAUCAGAAUCAUCUCCAACAAGCUCAAAGUCAAAGGAUGAUGUCACUUGACUAGCAGCAAUCUUUCCAGCCAUCCCCUAUAACCAACAAAUAUAUAUAUAUAUAUCUCUUUCAGCUGAUAUUGAACCCAAAAUUCUGGUUCUUUUCCUCCUCAUGUACAAAACAAAAGUAAGAUCCAUAUGAGGUAAGAGAAACGAGUAAAAAUGAGAUAAAAGAAAAGCAAAAAUAUCCAAAAACUCCUUAACUGUAUUCACUAUUCAGACAGAGUGACAGACCCACUAACAGGGGUUUGUUUCAUUCAUUCUAAAUGCAGGUAAGGCUUCAUACCAGUUCAUGACAUGGGUACCGUCAAACUGACAUUUUUACUAGUAAAAGUUAACAGAUGCUGAAAUUUCGAUUGUUUUGAUUUUCUUUAGCAGUGGGUAGCAUAGCUCAUCUAUUGCAAUGAUUUGUUUCAGCUAUCAAGCUCAAAGUUCUAAAUCCAAGCCACAACUUGACUGCUAAUGGAGGCAACAAAUCACGAUCACAAAAUCCUCUUUGUUUACGCCUUUAAAAAAAAUCAAACAGAUGGUUCACACCUCAUAAUUUUAACCCUACAACGAAAAUAAAUAUCAAGACUAAAAAUAUCAACUUCUCAUCAAGUUAAAAACAAGAAGGAAAAAAACUCCCCAGAAACCAUAACAAACUAACAACUUUAUACUGUUUACCAAAAGCCUGUGAUUAAAGUUCGUUCCUUUUCACAAUCAUCCUCAGCAACGUACAUCAAGUCACAAAUUAGCCAAAAAAAAAAAACACAUACAAGGCUUACUUGUACAGUGAAGUAGUAGAAUUUGCAACUGAAAAUGAAGGGGCGAAAGGUGAAAUUUCGACGAAUUAAGUGAAGGGUUGAGAAAGCAUCAGCCAAGAAUGAUCACAGCAUCAUCUGGGGCUGUGAAAAGAACAAAACCCAAAAAGAAAAAAAGGUCCCCAAUGUUAAUAAAUAUUCUACUAAAGAAAAAAAAAAUUAUUCUGACUAAAGAGAGAGAGGAGAAACGAGAAAUAAAGAGACCUAUUGUUUGAGUGCCCAAGUUAGAGAGUAUAAAUAUCACCAUCAGUAUAUUUUUAAAAUGAGUAGAAUUUGUUAAAGAAAUUAGUUAAGUCCUCAUUAGUAGGACUACAAUUUAGAAGAAGAAGAGGAAGAAGAAGAAGAACAAGAAAAAUUAGGAAACGUGUGAAGGCGUCACCUUUGGGAAGGGGAGUGUAUUGGUGUCACCACCAGAGUUAUGCUGUUUCGGACCGUAUACGUCGUUUAUACUCUUAGAACUACAUUACUUUCUUGUAUUUAUACUUAUGCUAUUUUUCUUUUUCACUCCCAACAAAUUUUCUUUGCAGAGAAAACAUCCAACUAGAUAGUUUAUUGUCAAGAAAAAUAAAAAACUAAGUAGUUUUCUUUGGUCCCCUUAACAUUUGUCUCACAUGCUAGGUCCUUGUCGAACUUGACAAAUUUUGAGUAUUCCUUCGAAUAUUCAAAUCUUUUAUAUUUGUUCUGAAUUCUUUGUAUUUUAAGAAGCGAAGAAGUAAAAAGAAAAUUUAAAUUCAAAACCUCUAAUUCUUUGAAUUUCGAGAUAUUAUAACUUAAUAUUGUACAAAUUAUACUGCAUAAAAAUUAAAUAAACCAAAGUGAAUUAUUAGCUGCGAAGUGUGACAAAAAAAAAAAACAACGAGGUUAGCGAUAUUAUUGAUAAGAUAAGCAAAGUAGUACCAAAAAAAAAAAUGGUACUAUAUGUCUUUGACCUUGAAAUAGUGAAUGGUUGCAAAUUGAAUUGGGUAUUUUGGCAAUUCAUAUGAUUUCCUUCUUUGUCGGUAAAAAUAAUUUGCCGUAACUGAAUAAUAAUUAAUUCCUUGACAUAUAACAAAAAAAAGGGCGUCUGAAUUUUUUGUACGUGCAUGCAUAAAUGGAACAACAUAAAUUGCAUCAAAGUCUUAAACAAAAAAUGUGACAAGAAAAUAUUAAGAGAGUGAGCUAAACUAGUGGUGAAGUUAAAGAAACAUGAUAAGAUUUGAAGGGCGUAAAAGUAAAUAGAAACUGAAAGUUCAGACCAACUGGCCCAGUUAGUUUUUACCGUUCUGCUGGCUAGAUUUUGCCAAUGAAAUAAAUUAAAAGCUGGCAUUGGGUGGAGGACUGCACAUAGAGCUCGAACCGAGUAUCUGAGCUCUGUUCGUUAAGCGAUUUGAACAACGUUCGUGUUCGUUUGUUAAUUUUCGAACUCCAAACCUGUGUUUGUAUUCGGAACAUUAAGUAAUGUUUAUGUUCGAGAUCGAGUUCGUGUUCGGUUCGUUUUAUGUUAAACGAGCCGUUCACGAACAUGUUUGAAAUGUUCGAAUCCAAAUUAUUUUAAGCCUUAAAUAUACUAUACAAAUCAUUAAUCAUUCUAAAAAAUAAUUAAAACACUAAGUGACUAAAUUCUAUUAUUCAUUAACUAUAUAACUAAUAUUAACAUAAAAAUAACAAAUUAUACCCUCCAAAUAUAAAAGUCUAGCCAUAAAAUUAACCCUAAAAUUUGUCAAAUGAUAAUAAUGCCCAUGUUCGCGAACGUUCGAUAAAACUCGCGAACAUGCUCGUAUUUGCUCGAUUAUUAAUCGAACAAAAAAAUUCGUUCGUACUCGAUUCGUUUAAGGUUUCGAACGAGUCUUUUACGAACACGAACGUGUCAAAAUGAACCGAGCUACCGAACAAUUCGAUUCGUUUAACAGCUCUAACUUCACAGUAAAUUACAUUGUGUUUCUUGCAAUAGCUAAUUCUUUCAAUAAAAAAAAAAAAGCAAAUUCUAGUCACCGAUGCUAUCCACAUAUUUAUUUAUUUUUUAAAUAAAUGUUUGUUUCUGCUUUUUUCCUAGUAGAGGAAGGAUGAGAUUUAAGAAACGAGGAGAAGAAAUGAUAAUCUGAAUUCAGGAGCUGGGGUCUCGACCAUAACUAAUAAAUUUAGGCCUUCUCAGCCACUGAUCUUCAAUACCUAAACGAAUAAACCAGUUUUGCUUCUACGUAGAGGGGAACAGAGCAAACAUGCAUUUCAGAGUACACACUACUAAGUCACUAAUGGACAAAAGUAGAUAAUGGUAUUGAUUUGCAUUAAGUGGUGACAAAAUCUAGACAGCUGAAUCAAGAAAUUCAUGUUGUUCAUGAUGAUUCAGAUCAAUCGCACGCCAAGUUAAACUAAAUGCAGAAAGCUAAUGAAGCUGAAGAAAUGGGACAGCAUUAAUAAUAUGAUAUGCAGGCAGGAAACUGGAAGAGAGCCACCAGAACAAAUGCUGAAGAAGUGUGUAUUAUCCCCAGGAGACACCAAAAUUCAUAAAGUUGAAAGUCCAUCCAUUCAUAAGCAAUCAAUGAAAAGGGAGGAAUUGUGGACAAUCUCAUCACUGAGAGAACCAGUCUGAGAAUCAAGAGCCUUGACAAUGGUGUCUACCUUCUGCUCUUGAAAAAUUAGCCAAGGCCUUCUUCAACUCUUAGUUUAGUUUUACUUUCUUCUACCUCAGCCAGCUUUUGCUAUACUCGCAGCUGAAUCUCUUCCUUGCUGAGGCCUUAAAUCUGAUUUUCUCGACAGCUGAUUGACAAUUGGAUCCUCUUCAUUGUUCAAAACAAUCCCACAAGAUCAGACGAAAAGCACAAAGCUACAAGAUAAGGAGGAAAAAAAGUUAAUUGACGAUUUCUGGGCUUUUAGAUUUUUCCUAGGUAAUAGUACAAAGUGCUUCUUGUAAAUUUUGCAGUAUUAACUGGUAUUUUCAGUUAGUAGCUUCAUUAGAGUUAAAGACCAAUAUGGUAACUCAGGGAAAACUUGAUCAUCCUGUUAAGUGGUUUGAAUUGAAUAUACAAGCUGAGAGUUCGAACUAACAAACAUAAUAAUAGCUACCCAAAUAACAUCACUAGGAAACUAGGACGCGGAUAACUGAACAAUUUCUUGUACACCAUUGAGUGUUGGAUAAAUGACAUUGUAACUGGACCUGCACUAGAUGGACAAUAGUAGUUUCUAGUUUAUUAUAAUUGCAGUAUAAGAUCAUACAACUUGACUUGAGGAUUACUUACAGAGACAGUAAGUGGAGGACGCAAGCUGUGGCUGAUACAGCUGCAUGCUACUGCCUGAACUGGGGGUGUCGACACCAUCCAUCCUCAUCAUCCCAAAUGAAUAUCUCAGGGAUGUGAGUUAUCCUUUGGUAAUCUUCAAAUGGAUUCUUCAGAAAUGCAUCCAAUCUUUCAUUGGGAUGACACAGAUAUAGAGAUUGGAGAUUGGUCAAGUGCUGGAUCCCCCGAGGGAACUCCUCCAGGAAUUUAAGGUUCGCCAUUCCUAGUUCUAGGAGAUUAGGCAUGGCACCUGCCUCCACACUCAACCAUCUCAAACCGCUUAAAGCAAGAAUGUUUAACUGCUCAAGCUUCGGAAAGCUUCCAGCCUUGAAACACAAAACCUCUCCUUGGUAUGCCUGAUUCAGAUCCAUUGUUUGCAAAUUUGGCAAAUGCUGAAGGGAUUCAAGUGGAUCAUCAAUUAACUCGCUCCAGAGCAACUCUAUUGAGGUCAAGCCUUGUAAAGAACAUAUAAAUUUGGGUACCUUUUCUAAACGGCCCCUCAAGCAUAACAUUUGAAGAUUUUCAAGACUUGAACUCAAGGAGCUUUUCAUGUAAUUUAGAUCAAUUACCUCAUCCUUAUGUGAUACUUGAACAUAUAAUUGCUCAAGAUUGGAGAGCCUCCCAAGAGAGGAGCAGAGCUCCUUUCCAUUUUCUCUUCUUAGACUUGUAAUGCCCAGCCUCUUCAAUUGCUUAAGCUCUCCUAUCUCUCUCAUCAUUGAUGCAUCAUUCGCUUCUAUGUAAAAUAACCACUCCAGAGAAAGAAGCCUCCCAAUGUUGUUUGGAGCUUUAAAUCCGUUAAAGCCGUUGAUGUCGUAUUCAUACGUAACAUGUUGAAAUGCAUAUGCCACGAGAUGGAGGAGUCCUCUUAUAUGUAGGAUCUCCUCAGGUAACUCACUUACAGCAGUGAAAGAUAGAUCCAGAUACUCCAGAUUCCGGAGACGUCCAAUGGACUUUGGAAUGAUUUUAACUCUUGUGUGUUUUAAGCUCAAAAACUUGAGAUGAUACAGCUUGAAGAUUUCAUCUGGCAUUUCCUCCAAUUCUGCACCUUCCAAAUCUAAUACCUUCAGUAGCCUACAACCACCACGUAAGAGAUUGGACAGCAAGGAUUUGGACGAAGGUUCCGAUGAUUUGAAGGUUACCAAAGAGCGCAGAUACUUUAAACAAAUGCUUCGAUGUGUGUGGCCAGUGAAAUCAUGAAUCACUAGGCGUCGAACCUUCUUAGGCCAACUUGUCAGUUCUCCCGUGGCUGUGGUUGCAAAAUGUUGUUUGCUUGACUUGGAGACAAUAAUUUCUCGGAAAAGGUCAUGGAUAUGAUAGGCCCUGGUGCUGCUAUCAUAAGAAUCAUCUCUCAGUUGGAUUAAGCUUCUAUUGGUAAGCUCACUAAGGCAGGCUCGAGCCACUUCAUAUUGACUCAUCCUCGUCCUCCCUUGUAUGAAUCCUUCUGCAAUCCAUAAUCGAAUUAAUCGCGCCUCUUCUAUUUGAUAAUCCUCAGGGAAAAUACUUGCAUACAAAAAACAGGUCCUGAGAUGGUGUGGCAGAUCAUGAUAACUAAGAGAGAGUAUUUUUCCAACUCUAUCCAGCUUAUCACUACAAUCCAGUAGGCUACGUUCAACUAUCUUCCAUUCAUCUACUUUGCUUUUGUCCUUCAAAGCCAAAACUCCGCCAAUUGCAACAAUGGCAAGUGGUAAUCCCUCACAUUUUCUCAAUAUGCGUUGUGCAACAUCUUUUAGAUAGUCAGGGCAGCUACUGUUCUUGAAUGUCUUCUUACAGAACAGAUUCCAAGACGCUUCAGAUGACAAGGGCUGCAUUCUGUGGACAUAGCUAUGAAAUUCUACAUCAGAGGCAUAAGCUACAUCAGCUAUUCGUGUAGUGAGCAUUACGCGACUACCACAACAACCUUCAGGUAAUGCAAAUUUGAUGACAUCCCAGAAUCUCACAUCCCAGACAUCAUCAAACACUAUUAGAUACCUCUUUACUCUGAGGAAAUCUUUGACAAUUGCUUUCAGCCUAUCCGUAUUAUUCAUGGAGGCAGCUUCUUGAGGAACAGGUUUCCCUGUUCCUUGGUAUAAUUGUUGAAUCAAGUCUUUGAGAAACUCCUCCAUAUAACAGGUUUGUGAGACAGUUGCCCAGGCAAGGAUCUCGAACUGUCUUUUGACAUUUGCAUCUUCUUGGACCUUUUUCACCAGUGUAGUUUUUCCAAUCCCUCCCAUGCCUAAAACUGAAACAACUUUGAGCUGAGAACAGCCGUCAAGGAGUUGACAAAUGAGUUGCUGCUUGGGGGAGUCAAUGCCCACCAACUUAGCUUCUUCCACAAGAAGGGCCUCAUCUCUAUUACAUUGCCACGAAUUGUUCCCAGGAUCAGAAGCUGAGACGUUGCCAUAGGUACCAUAUUCAGAUUGGUAUCUCUUGUGACCUUCAGAAAUACCCGUGAUUCGGGACUUCAUGCUUUGUACCUCCAAAGCAAUCCUAUGGCGAGCUUGCAAGUUCCCUACUGAGGUGAUUAUCUUUCGAGCAUGACCACGAAACCCAUGUCCGUGAUUGCAACCAAACCGGAGCAUAAAUUCUUCAACAAUGUCCUGAACAUCGUAAGCAACGUCCUGCACUUGCAUAACCCACUCUUCAAGUCUUGGAUCAUCUUGUUCUUUAGCUUCUGCAAAUUUUAAGAAAGCUUUCAUAUGCCCCAGUUCAUCCAUGAUGAGCUGGAUCUCUUGUGCAAGCCCGCCCAAUAAUUUUGCCUCGUCUCGGAGCAAAACUGAGAGCUGAUUUAACACCAAGGACACAAUGUGCACUGUCAUUCUCGAUCCCCUCUUCCCUUGUUGCCGCACAGAAUGCUUAGAGGCAGUUUCUAGUUCGUUGACCAGAAUGCUAAUUGAUGAAGGAAGUUGAUGAUGCAGAUGAAACCGAAAUAUGAUAAGAAAGGAAAAAAAAAAUGUAGAAGAAGUAAGAGGCCAAGUUGGUUGUCCAUUAUCGAGGCUGGCAAACCAUUUGACUUUGUAACUAAGCACAACUAUACAUAUUUAAUGUGGGAGAUUUCCUUUUACAUUACCACUCGGCUGCUUGACCCAAUCAUCCGGGUAAUAUAAUAAGCAGCGCCCCUCAAUUUCCAGCUAGUACUUCCACAAGGUCCAGAACUCUCACACGCACAGCAGCAAAAACCAGCCUCUAGUCCAUGGAAGCAACUGUUUCUUCUGCCAUAGUUUCUCAUAUUUUUCAGAAAGCAUACGGCAGUAUAUAAUUCCACAGAGGCUCAUCCAAACUUAUAGAGGAACUCGACGGCACAGCAAGAGUUUUUUAAUGUAAAAUUCUCAAAACUCUUGAUAAUCAGAACUGGUUCUACUAGGACCUGCUUUGAGCCAUUAUAUUGUUAGUAAAUGGAACCUUGCCCAUUUACAUUGAAAAGAAAUGAGAUUGAUUCCGCUAUUUAGGAAAUUCAAGGAAGAAUGCGCAUUAGUUGAAUCAACAAUUAAAGGUCAUCCACAAUUCAGAUGAUUCCCAGAAAAGUUGAACACCAAAAAGCACAAAGCAUAAAUUGAGAAUGAUCAUCCGGAGUUCGAAUGAUACGCAAGCAGAAGUGGUGGAAGCUUAACGAUACGCUGCGAAAAUGUAGUGGAAAGUUUCAUUCAGUUUUUCUAAGUUCCAAAGUUUUAUUUCAAGGAUGUAGAGAGGGAUGAUGGGUAAAAAGAAAAGGAAAAGAGAGGAUACUAUUUCGAAAAAAAAAAAGGGUUAUUCCAACAAGGUCCGAGAACUUUACACUAUUUCCACCAUUGCAGCGACCAUUUUGUCCAUUGUUUCUGAAAUUUCCAGCAUACAGUACAUGGGCUCAUGCAGCACCAACAUAAAACUGAUAGCAGAGCUUUUUACUGGUCUUGUAUUGCUACUUUCUAUUAGCCAUUGCCAUAGGUGGCAAACGUAUCAAAGCUUAUUCAUCACUGAGCGUACAGCAUGGGAAUAUGGGAUGAUUGAAAUAGGAGGGAAAGGAAGAGAGGGUUCAUGAUUCACCGUUAGCUUAAAAAUCUUCAAAAUAAAAGCAGAAAAGUAAGCAGAAGUGUGCGAGUUAAAACUGCUAAAAGGCCAAAAACUCGAAAGUACGAAAGGCCAUUGUAUCGAAAUCAAGAAGUAUGAAUUUUCACACUAGAAUCCAUGUUAACCUCAUCAUCGUGGAUUAUAAGUACAGAUUAUAAGAUCAAAUCAAAACCCAGUGAGCCUAAAAUCCAUCUCAACGUGCAGGGAGGACCUUCUUGACAAUCUCAUCACUAAGAGCAGCAAUCUGAGAAUCAAGAGCCUUAAUGGUGUCUUCUUUUUGCUUUUCCAAACUAGC